UAAGGAAUAUUGGUCAAUGGACGCAAGUCUGAACCAGCCAUGCCGCGUGAAGGAAGACGGCCCUACGGGUUGUAAACUUCUUUUGUACGGGAAAAAACCACCGGUCGUGAACCGGUGCUGAUGGUACCGUAAGAAUAAGCAUCGGCUAACUCCGUGCCAGCAGCCGCGGUAAUACGGAGGAUGCAAGCGUUAUCCGGAUUCAUUGGGUUUAAAGGGUGCGCAGGCGGAAUGAUAAGUCAGUGGUGAAAUCCUACGGCUCAACUGUAGAACUGCCAUUGAUACUGUUGUUCUUGAGUACACUUGGAGUGGGCGGAAUGUGUCAUGUAGCGGUGAAAUGCUUAGAUAUGACACAGAACACCGAUCGCGAAGGCAGCUCACUAAGUUGUAACUGACGCUCAGGCACGAAAGCGUGGGGAUCAAACA
rnacentral:rRNA from 1 species